rnacentral:snoRNA from 1 species
UGAUGUGCAGAACAUGUUAGUAUACGCACUGACAUUGUGAUUACACCGACAACCCCCUGAUU